AGAGAGCUUGCUUUCUCGAGCGAGUGGCGAACGGGUGAGUAACGCGUGAGGAACCUGCCUCAAAGAGGGGGACAACAGUUGGAAACGACUGCUAAUACCGCAUAAGCCCACGGCUCGGCAUCGAGCAGAGGGAAAAGGAGCAAUCCGCUUUGAGAUGGCCUCGCGUCCGAUCAGCUGGUUGGUGAGGUAACGGCCCACCAAGGCAACGAUCGGUAGCCGGACUGAGAGGUUGAACGGCCACAUUGGGACUGAGACACGGCCCAGACUCCUACGGGAGGCAGCAGUGGGGAAUAUUGCACAAUGGGGGAAACCCUGAUGCAGCGACGCCGCGUGGAGGAAGAAGGUCUUCGGAUUGUAAACUCCUGUUGUUGAGGAAGAUAAUGACGGUACUCAACAAGGAAGUGACGGCUAACUACGUGCCAGCAGCCGCGGUAAAACGUAGGUCACAAGCGUUGUCCGGAAUUACUGGGUGUAAAGGGAGCGCAGGCGGGAGAACAAGUUGGAAGUGAAAUCCAUGGGCUCAACCCAUGAACUGCUUUCAAAACUGUUUUUCUUGAGUAGUGCAGAGGUAGGCGGAAUUCCCGGUGUAGCGGUGGAAUGCGUAGAUAUCGGGAGGAACACCAGUGGCGAAGGCGGCCUACUGGGCACCAACUGACGCUGAGGCUCGAAAGUGUGGGUAGCAAACAGGAUUAGAUACCCUGGUAGUCCACACCGUAAACGAUGAUUACUAGGUGUUGGAGGAUUGACCCCUUCAGUGCCGCAGUUAACACAAUAAGUAAUCCACCUGGGGAGUACGACCGCAAGGUUGAAACUCAAAGGAAUUGACGGGGGCCCGCACAAGCAGUGGAGUAUGUGGUUUAAUUCGACGCAACGCGAAGAACCUUACCAAGUCUUGACAUCCUGCGACGCACAUAGAAAUAUGUGUUUCCUUCGGGACGCAGAGACAGGUGGUGCAUGGUUGUCGUCAGCUCGUGUCGUGAGAUGUUGGGUUAAGUCCCGCAACGAGCGCAACCCUUAUGGUCAGUUACUACGCAAGAGGACUCUGGCCAGACCGCCGUUGACAAA
rnacentral:rRNA from 1 species